AGAGUUUGAUCAUGGCUCAGGAUGAACGCUGGCGGCGUGCUUAACACAUGCAAGUCGAACGAGCGGAGGGCUUCGGCCCGAAGCGAGUGGCGGACGGGUGAGUAACGCGUGGGUAACCUGCCCCAUACAGGGGAAUAACAGUGAGAAAUCACUGCUAAUGCCGCAUAAGCGCACAGUACCGCAUGGUACGGUGUGAAAAGCUCCGGCGGUAUGGGAUGGACCCGCGUCUGAUUAGGCAGUUGGCGGGGUAACGGCCCACCAAACCGACGAUCAGUAGCCGACCUGAGAGGGUGACCGGCCACAUUGGGACUGAGACACGGCCCAGACUCCUACGGGAGGCAGCAGUGGGGAAUAUUGCACAAUGGGGGAAACCCUAAUGCAGCAACGCCGCGUGAGUGAAGAAGUAUCUCGGUAUGUAAAGCUCUAUCAGCAGGGAAGAAAAUGACGGUACCUGACUAAGAAGCCCCGGCUAACUACGUGCCAGCAGCCGCGGUAAUACGUAGGGGGCAAGCGUUAUCCGGAUUUACUGGGUGUAAAGGGAGCGCAGGCGGCGAAGCAAGCCAGAGGUGAAAACCCGGGGCUCAACCCCGAGGAUUGCCUUUGGAACUGUUUUGCUUGAGUACUGGAGGGGCAGGCGGAAUUCCUGGUGUAGCGGUGAAAUGCGUAGAUAUCAGGAGGAACACCGGUGGCGAAGGCGGCCUGCUGGACAGAAACUGACGCUGAGGCUCGAAAGCGUGGGGAGCAAACAGGAUUAGAUACCCCGGUAGU
rnacentral:rRNA from 1 species